GCAUACUUUUCAAGUUAUGAAUAAUGUGGAAAAAUUGUAUUUCUCUGCUUGUGCUAAAUUACAGUACCCAUUGUGUAAGGUAAUUGAAUCACAAGCAGAGGGGAGGAAUUUGUGUGUGAGUGUCUGAGUUUAUUGUAUGUGUUUAUUGGUUGUGUUCCAAAACCCUGUGGGUGGUACUAAUGUGUAAGAAUGUGUACAUAAGCACAAUAAACCCACAGCUCUGACUGUUCACUGCUUG